rnacentral:rRNA from 1 species
UACGUAGGGUGCAAGCGUUAAUCGGAAUUACUGGGCGUAAAGCGUGCGCAGGCGGUUUUGUAAGUCUGUCGUGAAAUCCCCGGGCUUAACCUGGGAAUGGCGAUGGAGACUGCAAGGCUAGAAUCUGGCAGAGGGGGGUAGAAUUCCACGUGUAGCAGUGAAAUGCGUAGAGAUGUGGAGGAACACCGAUGGCGAAGGCAGCCCCCUGGGCUAAGAUUGACGCUCAUGCACGAAAGCGUGGGGAGCAAACAGG